UACGUAGGGUGCAAGCGUUGUCCGGAAUUAUUGGGCGUAAAGAGCGUGUAGGCGGCCAGAUAAGUCCGCUGUGAAAUCUCGAGGCUCAACUUCGAGCUGUCGGUGGAAACUGUCUGGCUAGAGUCCGGAAGAGGAGAAUGGAAUUCCUGGUGUAGCGGUGAAAUGCGCAGAUAUCAGGAAGAACACCCGUGGCGAAGGCGGUUCUCUGGGACGGUACUGACGCUGAGGUGCGAAAGCGUGGGGAGCAAACAGG
rnacentral:rRNA from 1 species